GACGAACGCUGGCGGCGUGCUUAACACAUGCAAGUCGAGCGGUAAGGCCCUUUCGGGGGUACACGAGCGGCGAACGGGUGAGUAACACGUGGGUGACCUGCCCUCAGCUCUGGGAUAAGCCUGGGAAACUGGGUCUAAUACCGGAUAUGACUCCAUGACGCAUGUUGUGGGGUGGAAAGCCUUGUGCGGCUAGGGAUGGGCCCGCGGCCUAUCAGCUUGUUGGUGGGGUGAUGGCCACCAAGGCGACGACGGGUAGCCGGCCUGAGAGGGCGACCGGCCACACUGGGACUGAGACACGGCCCAGACUCCUACGGGAGGCAGCAGUGGGAAUCUGCGCAAUGGGCAAAGCCUGACGCAGCGACGCCGCGUGAGGGAUGACGGCCU
rnacentral:rRNA from 1 species